rnacentral:rRNA from 1 species
UACGUAGGGUGCGAGCGUUGUCCGGAAUUAUUGGGCGUAAAGAGCUUGUAGGCGGUCUGUCGCGUCUGCCGUGAAAUUUCGGGGCUCAACCCCGAACUUGCGGUGGAUACGGGCAGACUAGAGUGUGGUAGGGGAGACUGGAAUUCCUGGUGUAGCGGUGAAAUGCGCAGAUAUCAGGAGGAACACCGGUGGCGAAGGCGGAUCUCUGGGCCGAUACUGACGCUGAGGAGCGAAAGCGUGGGGAGCGAACAGG